rnacentral:lncRNA from 1 species
AUAAUGCGGGUAUGCAUUUAUGUUUUCAUUUCAUGUUCUAGGUCGCCCACCAGUAUAAUGUGGGAAUACUUUUCAGUUCUAGGUCGCCCACCAGUAAAAUGCGGGAAUACAUUUAAGUUCUAGGCGCCCACCAGUAUAAUGCGGGAAUACUUUUCAGUUCUAGGUCGCCCACCAGUAAAAUGUGGGAAUACAUUUAAGUUCUAGGUCGCCCACCAGUAUAAUGCGGGAAUACUUUUAAGUUCUAGGUCGCCCACCAGUAAAAUACGGGAAUACAUUUAAGUUCUAGGUCGCCCACCAGUAUAAUGCGGGAAUACAUUUCAGUUCUAGGUCGCCCACCAGUAUAAUGAGGGAAUACAUUUUGUCUGUUCAUUCCAUAUUCUAGGUCGCCCACCAGUAUAAUGCGGGCAUACAUUUCAGUUUUCCAUUUCCAGGUCGCCCACCAGUAUAAUGCGGGCAUACAUUUCAGUUUUCCAUUUCCAGGUCGCCCACCAGUGUAAUGCGGGCAUACAUUUCAUUUUUCCAUUUCCAGGUCGCCCACCAGUAUAAUGCGGGUAUACAUUUUCAUUUCAUGUCCAGGCACCAGCUGUAUAACGAGAGGAAUACUUUUCAGUCUUAUACUGCAGAUUUUGAAGUCAGUAACCCCACCGGAAGGCAGAAGGUUACAACAAGAAUCCCCAGCAGGAAACAAUAAAAAUCCCAACACCGGAAGGCAGAGGGUGGCAACAAGAAGUCCCAGCGCAAAUUCAAGCGCAUGAGUCAAAAGAAAGAAAAGACGCGUCUUGAUGAAUCUGAUGAAGAUAAUCGUAUCCCCAGAGGAACCGCCAAAAAGCUUAAUGAAGAAAGCCAUGUCCCCAGCGGACCGAACAAAAUGACGAAAACUGGUAUUAAAAAAAAAAUCAAGGGCCAGAAGUCUUGGUAAAAAGGCACCAGAGGAAACACAAACCGACAAAAAGCAAGGAAACCGGAGCAAGGGGAAAACAGAUAAGAUUCUGUAAUUUCUAGCUUAGUCUAGAUUCUUAUUU